GACGAACGCUGGCGGCGUGCCUAAAACAUGCAAGUCGAACGGUGCAGCAAUACACAGUGGCGAACGGCGGAGUAAUACAUGAACAACGUGCCCGGAAGACUGGGAUAGUCAGGGGAAACCCUGGGUAAUACCAGAUGUGGCCGUCUCUUGGCAUCUAGAGACGAUUAAAGGGUUUUUCGCUUCCGGAGCGGUUCAUGGCCUAUCAGGUAGUUGGUGAGGUAAUGGCUCACCAAGCCGACGACGGGUAGCGGGUCUGAGAGGAUGAUCCGCUCGAGUGGGACUGAGACACGGCCCACACACCUACGGGUGGCAGCAGUUGGGAAUCUUGCACAAUGGGGGAAACCCUGAUGCAGCGACGCCGCGUGGAGGAUGAAGGAUCUAGGUCUGUAAACUCCUUUU
rnacentral:rRNA from 1 species